rnacentral:piRNA from 1 species
CAAGUCUGGAAAGUUGAAAGGAG